AGUCGUUGUUAGCGUCGUUGGGAUUAGAAACGCUGAGAGAAUUUUGAAUAUGAUCGUGAUUAUUGAGAGAAGAAGAAGAAGGACGACAUUGGAAAAAAAAAACAACGACGUACACCAUCGACGAGAUUGCCAUCACCACCCAUUGAUUUAGGCUAACAAUAAUAAUCACAGAUUUUGGGUUUCCGAUUUUACUCUAAGUCAACCGUUCUUCGUCAAUCAUUACCAUAUUUUUUGUCGUUUCUCUCGCUGUUUUUUUCUCACAAGGA